rnacentral:rRNA from 1 species
AGCGAACGCUGGCGGCGUGCCUAACACAUGCAAGUCGAACGUGAAAAGGGAAACCUGAGUAAAGUGGCGUACGGGUGAGUAACGCGUAGGUAAUCUACCCCAGAAUCUGGAAUAACCUGCCGAAAGGCGGGCUAAUACUGGAUAGAGCGAGGGAACUCGUAAGAGAGUUUUUCGGGAAAGGGAGCCCGCAAGGGCCUUCGUUCUGGGAUGAGCCUGCGUCUCAUUAGCUAGUUGGUAAGGUAACGGCUUACCAAGGCGAUGAUGAGUAGCUGGUCUGAGAGGAUGAUCAGCCACACUGGAACUGAAACACGGUCCAGACUCCUACGGGAGGAAGCAGUGGGGAAUCUUGCGAAAUGGACGAAAGUCUGACGCAGCCACGCCGCGUGAGUGAAGAAGGCCUUCGGGUUGUAAAGCUCUGUCGGAUGGGACGAAAAUCUUCAUAGUGAAUAGCUAUGAGGACUGACGGUACCAUCAAAGGAAGCACCGGCUAACUCCGUG